rnacentral:rRNA from 1 species
GUCAGGCAACGAGCGAGACCACGCCAACAGUUGCCAGCUCGGUCCUCCGGGGAGUGGUGGGGGACGACUGUUGGGACCGGCCUCUGCUAAAGAGGAGGAAGGAAUGGGCAACGGUAGGUCAGCAUGCCCCGAAUUAUCUGGGCUACACGCGGGCUACAAUGGGUGGGACAAUGGGUAUCGACACCGAAAGGUGAAGGCAAUCUCCUAAACCCAUCCGUAGUUCGGAUUGUGGGCUGCAACUCGCCCACAUGAAGCUGGAAUCUGUAGUAAUCGUGUCUCAAAAUGGCACGGUGAAUAUGUCCCUGCUCCUU